rnacentral:rRNA from 1 species
AGCGAACGCUGGCGGCAGGCCUAACACAUGCAAGUCGAGCGCCGUAGCAAUACGGAGCGGCAGACGGGUGAGUAACACGUGGGAACGUACCUUUUGGUUCGGAACAACACAGGGAAACUUGUGCUAAUACCGGAUAAGCCCUUACGGGGAAAGAUUUAUCGCCGAAAGAUCGGCCCGCGUCUGAUUAGCUUGUUGGUGAGGUAAUGGCUCACCAAGGCGACGAUCAGUAGCUGGUCUGAGAGGAUGAUCAGCCACACUGGGACUGAGACACGGCCCAGACUCCUACGGGAGGCAGCAGUGGGGAAUAUUGGACAAUGGGCGCAAGCCUGAUCCAGCCAUGCCGCGUGAGUGAUGAAGGCCCUAGGGUUGUAAAGCUCUUUUAACGGGGAAGAUAAUGACGGUACCCGUAGAAUAAGCCCCGGCUAACUUCGUGCCAGCAGCCGCAGUAA